UAGAGUUUGAUCCUGGCUCAGAUUGAACGCUGGCGGUAUGCUUUACACAUGCAAGUCGAACGGAUUUGGAGCUUGCUUCAUAGUUAGUGGCGAACGGGUGAGUAAUAUAUCGGAACAUAUCCGGAAGUGGGGGAUAACGUAGCGAAAGUUACGCUAAUACCGCAUAUGCCCGAGGGGGAAAGGGGGGGAUGCAAGACCUCUCGCUUUGGGUGGCCGAUUCGGAUUAGCUAGUAGGUGAGGUAAAGGCUCACCUAGGCGACGAUCCGUAGCGGUCUGAGAGGACGACCGCCACACUGGAACUGAGACACGGUCCAGACUCCUACGGGAGGCAGCAGUGGGGAAUUUUGGACAAUGGGCGAAAGCCUGAUCCAGCCAUACCGCGUGAGUGAAGAAGGCCUUCGGGUUGUAAAGCUCUUUCAGCCGGAAAGAAAUCGUACUAUUAAUACUAGGUGCGGAUGACGGUACCGGAAGAAGAAGCACCGGCUAACUCGUGCCAGCAGCCGCGGUAA
rnacentral:rRNA from 1 species